rnacentral:rRNA from 1 species
UACGAAGGGGGCUAGCGUUGCUCGGAAUCACUGGGCGUAAAGGGUGCGUAGGCGGGUCUUUAAGUCAGGGGUGAAAUCCUGGAGCUCAACUCCAGAACUGCCUUUGAUACUGAGGAUCUUGAGUUCGGGAGAGGUGAGUGGAACUGCGAGUGUAGAGGUGAAAUUCGUAGAUAUUCGCAAGAACACCAGUGGCGAAGGCGGCUCUCUAGUACGGUACUGACGCUGAGACGCGAAAGCGUGGGGAGCGAACAGG